rnacentral:rRNA from 1 species
GAUGAACGCUGGCGGCGUGCCUAAUACAUGCAAGUCGAGCGAACAGAUGAGGAGCUUGCUCCUCUGACGUUAGCGGCGGACGGGUGAGUAACACGUGGAUAACCUACCUAUAAGACUGGGAUAACUUCGGGAAACCGGAGCUAAUACCGGAUAAUAUAUUGAACCGCAUGGUUCAAUAGUUAAAGACGGUUUUGCUGUCACUUAUAGAUGGAUCCGCGCCGCAUUAGCUAGUUGGUAAGGUAACGGCUUACCAAGGCAACGAUGCGUAGCCGACCUGAGAGGGUGAUCGGCCACACUGGAACUGAGACACGGUCCAGACUCCUACGGGAGGCAGCAGUAGGGAAUCUUCCGCAAUGGGAGAAAGCCUGACGGAGCAACGCCGCGUGAGUGAUGAAGGUCUUCGGAUCGUAAAACUCUGUUAUUAGGGAAGAACAAAUGUGUAAGUAACUAUGCACGUCUUGACGGUACCUAAUCAGAAAGCCACGGCUAACUACGU